GAUGAACGCUGGCGGCGUGCUUAAGACAUGCAAGUCGAACGGAGUGUGUAGCAAUACUCACUAAGUGGCGAAUGGGUGAGUAACACGUAGGUGACCUGCCCUGAGCUCUGGGAUAAGCCUGGGAAACCGGGUCUAAUACCGGAUAUGACUCCAUGACGCAUGUUGUGGGGNGGUAAAGGCCUUGUGCGGCUGAGGAUGGGCCCGCGGCCUAUCAGCUUGNGGUU
rnacentral:rRNA from 1 species